rnacentral:lncRNA from 1 species
CCCACAAGACGUACAGUUCAAAUCUAACGUCUGUUAGUACAUUCUACUUUAGCGUGAAUAUCAACUCAUCUCGAUCCAAAAUGCGCCUUAUCAUAGUCUUGGAACAAUAGUCGAUGAAUCGCAAUCGAACCUCAUGAUCAAUCAUCACAGUCUGCACACACACACACACACACACACACACACACACGCACACGCCUAUUCUUGCCACUUUCAGGCUGUGCGCCUAUCAAUAAUCGGGAUGGAUUAGGGUUUGUUGGAUUGCAUGUGACAACGCUCAACCAAAAAAACGCAAACCAAAAUAAGUUUAUUUCCAUGUCCAACCGCACAUCCUGAUCCUUGUUUUCGGUAACCCAUACAUAACUUACUGCUACGAGAAUUAUGGGAAGGGGAUUGGCACUGAUCCACACUGGGUCCUUCCAGAGCGAGCAUUACGUACCAACAUCCUGGGCACAGAUUAACAUUAAUAAACGUUAUCCACCGACAGAAUAACCAGUCUUGUCACCUCUUGCGUCUCGGCUAUCGCCUCUCGUUUUUGCCUCAACAACCCAGGACACAGCCUCGUUAGAAAUGGAGGUAUCGAGUUUAGCCUCUGCGCGCGUUGAAUCGAUCCACAA